rnacentral:lncRNA from 1 species
AAAGCUUGUAGAGAAGAAGCUUCUAAGGAAAAGAAAGCAGCCGCUAGUGCUGCUGAUGCUGGAGAUGCUGGUCUGCCUCCACCUCAGAAACGUUAUGGUGGGAACAGAUACCACUUUGAUGAUUACAACUGGGAGGAACCAGGCACUUCAGGGUCUAGAGCUCAGCAAAAGAUUGGUGUCCUUCAGCAAUGGUGCAAGUACCAGGACAAAACGAUACACAAGAUGGCCAAGUGUAUCAAGGAGAUUAAGAAAAGGAUCAAGAGGCUUGAGAACCCUUGCAAAGAUGGAUCUCCAACACCGGUUUCACCAAGGCACAGAGAAGAGGUAGGAGAGAGCUCUACCAAUUGCAUAGCACUGGUCCCAUAUGGCACAGCAUGGGUG